rnacentral:tRNA from 1 species
UAGUUCAGUGGUAGAGCACAUGCUUAGCAUGCAUGAGGUCCUGGGUUCAAUCCCCAU